rnacentral:rRNA from 1 species
UACGUGGGUGGCAAGCGUUGUCCGGAUUUACUGGGCGUAAAGAGCGCGCAGGCGGUCGUUCAAGUCGCGUGUGAAAGCCCCCGGCUCAACUGGGGAGGGUCACGCGAUACUGAUUGACUCGAAGGCAGGAGAGGGUAGUGGAAUUCCCGGUGUAGUGGUGAAAUGCGUAGAUAUCGGGAGGAACACCAGUGGCGAAGGCGACUACCUGGCCUGUUCUUGACGCUGAGGCGCGAAAGCUAGGGGAGCAAACGGG